UUUUGGAUUACUAAUUCCUAGAGCAAAAUCAAUAGGAAAUAGGAGGGACAAUAUAAUCGAGUAGUCAAUUUGUUACAUUUUCCUUCAAAAUAUGAUGCUCGAACUAGUAAUAUGGUUCUUAAGAUUGUUCGAAUCAACAAAUCCUAUAUACAUGGAUGACUUAAAUCACGUUUUGUUUCUCAAUUUCAGAUCACCUUAUCAGGAUUGUUAAACUUGACAGACGGAUUGUGGUCCAGCUGUGGUGAUGAGCGGAUCAUUGUAUUCAAAACCAACCAUAAGGACAGGCUUGAUCCUGCUUUGCUGCUGAUACAUCCUGGCCCAUUAAAGUAAGGGAGCUGGAAGAUGGCCCUGUAGUUGAAAUGCAGGAAGUGGAGCAAACAUUGCAACGGCCAGCUCGUGCUCGCAAAACUCCAGAAUAUCUCAAGGACUAUAUCACCUAGGGGAAUAUUCGGGAGAAUUAUUCCAUGAGGACAGCUGUGAUUUUUAUUAUCUUUGUUUUAUUAUUGCAAUUGGCUAGUUACAAAAAAAGUGGUAAAAUGAAAAGGAUAUAUGUAAAGUGGAAAGGCGUGAGCAAAAGAAGAAUAUAAUACACAAAAGUUUCUUUCUUUCUUAUCUCUAUUAUUUUCUCUCUGUUCUUGUGGAGCUCACACCUGCUCGAAAGGUGGAAACCUCGUGAUACUAACAAAUAUUCAUUGGAGGUCGUAUCAACUGGUGCUUUCAUUGCCUUUUUUCUGCUCCUGGUCAUUCUCUGUCGUCUACUCCCUAUUUCUCUGCAAAAAUGACCAACCAAGAGGCCACAACGGAUCCUGAGAUUAUUUCUAAGAUGCAAACACUUCUUGAAAGCCACACACUGGCUGUUCAUCAAAACCUCCAAAAAUAUAUGUCCACGGUUGAUUCUCGUUUUGAGGAGCUACGAUCUCAUAUCAGUAGUUCUAUCGGAGUUUCAGGAGGUUCAUCCCGUCCUCCGGCGUCAACACCGUCAUCUUCGACUACGGUUCCGACAUCGUCGACGGCUUUCCCAACACAGCCCACUACUCUUGUUAGUAGUACGGAUAAUUCACCUCUGUUACGCUCCAUGAAAAUGGAGGUUCCAAAGUUUGAUGGUACUGAUCCAAAUGGAUGGGAUUUUCGAAUCAAUGAAUUUUUUGAUUUUCAUGGCACUCCGGAUCAUCUACGGUUACGUAUUGUUUCUUUUCACAUGGAAGGAAAAGCUGCUGCAUGGUUUCAGUGGAUGAAAGCCAACAAUCUAUUGAGCACUUGGCAAAGUUUUUUAAUCAAUCUCAAACAACGUUUUGGUGCUUCUAUGUAUAAAGAUCGUCAGGGCAAUUUGUCCAAGCUCACACAAACAUCUACAGUUACAGAGUUUCAAUCUGCCUUCGAAGAGUUGAUGAAUAAAGUCACGGGCAUUUUCGAGCCGUUACUGAUUAGUUUUUUUAUCACUGGCUUAAAACCUGACAUUCGACGAGAGUUGUUGUUUGGCAGACCCACGUCCCUCAUGGAAGCCUUUGCUCUAGCACGCGCAUAUGAAGCUAAAUUUGAGGAAUCAAAAAUUUCAGGCCGUUCUUGGACAAAAUGGAACGCUGUUACUCCUCAACCACAACAAACCACCCCUGCUCUCACUCACCAUGUCCACAACAAAUUUCCUUCCACUUAUCCACAUGCCAGUUUUGCUACUCAAAAACCAUCAUCCUAACCGCCACUUUUACCUACCCCAAAACCAAUACCACCACCGCCACUUUUACCCACUCCAGCCCUCCCCAUCCGUCGUCUCUCCCCGGUGGAAUUGAAAGAAAAAAGAGACAAGGGGUUGUGUUACAAUUACGACCAGAAAUAUAGUGCAAACCAUCAUUGCCGUAGUAAAUUUCUCUUGUUGUUAGGCACAGAUGAUGAUGACAGUGAACUAUCGGAGGAGUCUCCCUUGCUUGAACAAACAGAGGAAGUUGUGACAGCUAAUAUAUCCAGUUUAAAUGCACUAGCUGGGCAAUCUAACCCACGAUCUUUGAGGGUACUAGGCGAAAUUGGCCGCCAACACUUACAUGUUUUAAUAGAUAGUGGCAGUACACACAACUUCAUCAAACCACAAUGGGCAGAACGACUUGGCCUGCAAAUUCAAUCCAUCCCUGCUUUUCGGGUUUAUAUUGGUAAUGGCGACUUCUUAAUUUUCCGUUUUCAAUGUCUUCAAGUGCCACUAGUGAUACAGGGUCACACUUUCAAAUUGGAUUUCUAUAUAUUGCCAAUUGAAGGUCCCGAUGUUGUCCUGGGAAUCCAGUGGCUUUAACAUCUUGGUAAAAUAUCUACAGACUACCGUGCAAUGACUAUGGAAUUUUGUUGGGAGGGCAAUCUAAUCAUUUUACGAGGUGACCCCAUCCAAACCCCUAAUAUGAUUUCCUUCCAUCAAUUUCAUGCCUUGUUAUCUACAGAUGCCGUGCAUUUAUUAUUUGAGCUGCAUCCCAUUAUUAAUGACACACUUGCUUCCGAUACAAAUUUCUCACUCUCGGAACCUCACCUUCCCACCCAAUUACCCGAACAAAUCACCAUUCUCCUUCAACAAUAUAAAACCUUAUUUUCCCCACCUACGGGUCUCCCUCCUCAUAGACUCAUUGACCAUAAAAUUCACCUCCUGCCUACUUCAAAGCCAGUGAAUGUGAGGCCCUAUAGAUAUCCUCAUUUUCAAAAAACAAAAAUGGAAAAACUAGUCAAGGAAAUGUUAGAACAGGGGAUAAUAAAGCCAAGCCACAGCCCUUUCUCCUCUCUCGUUUUGUUGGUCAAGAAAAAGGAUGGCACAUACAGGUUUUGUGUUGAUUACAGAGCCUUGAAUGCAGUCACAGUGCCGGAUAAAUUUCCUAUUCCCAUAAUUGAUGAAUUAUUUGAUGAGCUAGGAGGCGCAUGGAUUUUCAGCAAGCUGGAUUUGAGAGCUGGUUACCACCAGAUCCGAGUUCAUAAGUGAGAUACUUAUAAAACAGCAUUUCAUACUCAUGAGGGGCAUUACGAAUUUCUGGUCAUGCCAUUCGGUUUAACUAAUGCCCCCUCGACAUUUCAAGCAACUAUGAAUCAACUAUUUGCAUCUUACUUACGCAAAUUUGUUAUUGUUUUUUUCGAUGACAUUUUGGUUUAUAGUUCUUCAUUGACUGCUCAUGUCAAUCACUUGGAACAUGUUUUGUUUCGUUUGCAAGAACAUCAGUUUUAUGUCAAGUUGUCGAAGUGUCUAUUUUGCCAAGAAGCUAUUGAUUAUUUGGGUCACAUAGUGACUGCUGGAGGAGUACAGGUAGACCCUAAAAAAAUUGUAGCCAUGGUGGAAUGGCCAUUGCCACAGACUGUUAAGCAACUACGAGGAUUUCUCGGGCCCACAGGCUAUUAUCGCCGAUUUAUCCGAGGUUAUGCUUCAAUUGCGGCCCCAUUGACAGAUUUGUUGUGUAAAGAGGCAUUCCAUUGGUCUCCAGCAGCUUCGGAUGCCUUUAUGACUUUAAAAAAUGCAAUGGUGGCUGCCCCGGUAUUGCAUUUACCUGAUUUUGAGCUUGAAUUUGUUAUCGAGACGGAUGCUUCUAAUAUUGGAAUUGGCGCAGUAUUGAUGCAACAGGGUCAUCCCAUUUCUUAUUUUAGUCAAAAGUUGGGUCUUCGAUUGCGGGUUGCCUCGACUUAUAUCAAAGAACUGCACGCGAUUGUUGCUGCUGUACAAAAAUGGCGCCAAUACUUACUCGAUCGCUUUUUCAUCAUUCGAACCGAUCAUAAAAGCAUUAAAGAGUUGUUUCACCAGGUCAUUCAAACUCCUGAACAACAAGCUUACGUCAGGAAAUUGUUGGGUUUUCAUUUUUGAAUUGAGUAUAAGCCGGGAAGUUCCAAUAAGGUUGCUGAUGCCUUAUCUCGAGUACAUGCGGAUCAAUUUUCCGACUCCAUAAAUUCUCAAGCUGAGUUGUUCUCUAUAAUCUCCAAGCCAACCGUGGAUAUCCUAACCACUUUGCAUGAGGACAAUUCGUCCUUGCCUGAUCUGUUGUUACUUCAUCACAAGUUUGCCACGGGAGAACUUUCUUCAGCCUUCUCGGUUCGUGAGGGACUAUUACUUUACAACCAUCGAUACUACGUCAGUCCUCACUCCAAAUUAAAGAGCACGCUUCUUAAGGAAUUCCAUGACUCCCCCAUGGCAGGGCAUGCAGGCGUGAAACGCACCCUAGUUCGGCUUUCUUCUACUUUUUUUUGGCCGAAAAUGCGCUUUGAUGUUGAGAACUACAUUGCUGCCUGUCUUACAUGUCAGCAAAUCAAAAAUUCGACUCAAGCACCUGCUGGAUUACUUCAACCUUUACCCGUUCCUUCACUUGUUUGGGAUGCUUUGACUAUGGAUUUUAUUACAGGCUUGCCAACUUCUAAAGGCUUCGAGGUAAUCUUGGUGGUCGUGGAUCGCUUAAUGAAAUCAGCCCACUUUGGUGCACUGCCAUCUCAAUUCACAGCCAGCAAAACAGCCAAUCUUUUUGCUGAUUUGGUAGUCAAGUUACAUGGGUUUCCAAGCUCAAUAAUAUCAAAUCGAGAUCCUAUAUUCAUGAGUAAUUUUUGGCAGAAACUAUUUGAGUUAAGUGGCACUACAUUACGGCACAGUACUGCUUAUCACCCUCAAACUGACGGCCAAACAGAGGUAGUGAAUCGUGGCCUCGAACAGUACUUAAGAGCCUUUACUCAGGACAAACCGCAGUCAUGGUCAAGCUUGUUAGGUUGGGCUGAAUUUUGUUACAACACAAGCUAUCACAGUGGGUUAAAGAUGACACCUUUUCAGGCACUCUAUGGGAGAUUACCCCCCACAAUUCCUGGAUAUACAAAAGGUUCUACUUCGGUUCAAGCCUUAGAAGAUCUGUUGUUGGAGCGAGAUGAAUUGUUGAGAACUUUAAAAACUAAUUUACUUCAAGCUCAGCAUCGUAUGGAACAAAAAGCCAAUGCCCAUCGACGAGAACUCCAGUUACAGAUUGAUGAUCUUGUUUUGGUCCGCCUUCAACCUCAUCGACAAAUUUCAGUGGCUAAGCGUGCUUCUCAAAAGUUGGCUAAACGAUAUUAUGGCCCUUUCCGAAUAUCAGAACGAAUCGGAGCUGUUGCUUAUAAGCUGCAAUUGCCUGAAGGAUGCAAAGUUCACCCGGUAUUUCACAUCUCAGCACUCAAACCUUAUGUGGGAAGCUCGGCUGUUUAUGUUGCCUCUUUGCCUCCUGAUACCAUUGACAAUAAGCCUGUCUCUACUCCUAUAGCUAUACUUGCUGACAGAUUCAUAUUAAAACAAGAAAAAAAAGCAUUAUCAAAUUUUGGUUCAGUGGUCUGGCUGUGCUCCUGAGAAUUCAACUUGGGAAGACUUUGCUGAGUUCUGCAGACUGUACCCAGAGUUUAACCUUGAGGACAAGGUUCAUUCUCAAGGGGAGGGGAGUGAUACAUCCUGGCCCAUUAAAGUAAGGGAGCUGGAAGAUGGCCCUGUAGUUGAAAUGCAGGAAGUGGAGCAAACAUUGCAACGGCCAGCUCGUGCUCGCAAAACUCCAGAAUAUCUCAAGGACUAUAUCACCUAGGGGAAUAUUCGGGAGAAUUAUUCCAUGAGGACAGCUGUGAUUUUUAUUAUCUUUGUUUUAUUAUUGCAAUUGGCUAGUUACAAAAAAAGUGGUAGAAUGAAAAGGAUAUAUGUAAAGUGGAAAGGCGUGAGCAAAAGAAGAAUAUAAUACACAAAAGUUUCUUUCUUUCUUAUCUCUAUUAUUUUCUCUCUGUUCUUGUGGAGCUCACACCUGCUCGAAAGGUGGAAACCUCGUGAUACUGACAAAUAUUCAUUGGAGGUCGUAUCAGCUGCGCCCUGGCCGCAUGGAUGUGCACAUCCACAUGCCAUAUUGCACUCCAUGUGGGUUCAAAAUUCUGGCCUCCAAGUACCUUGGGAUCACAGAGCAUCCACUUUUCUCGGAGGUUGAAGAGUUGAUAGAGUAAACACAGGUGAGUCCAGCAGAAGUAGUUGCGCAGCUGAUGAGGAAUAAGGCACCUGAAAUUACGCUAAGUGGCCUACUUGAGUUUCUUAAGAUGAAGAAGAGGGACAACGAUGAGAUAGAUGCUAAAGAAGCAGAACAAAGAGCAAUAGAAGCAAAAAGUAUUCAAGAACUUCAUGAGGAAACCAGUGAAGGAAAGAGUCGAGACAUGAUAAAGAUUCAUUAAAUUUUUAUGGUGGUUUACAGCAAGAAGUAGCCAGUUUGUAGUUAAAAUCGGGGACUUACAUCAGUUAUCUACAGCAUUUACAUAAUUGGGUAGUCUCUUUCAAUUGAAAAUUUUCUGACUUAGUAUCUGCGAAAUGUAUGUUUUUGCUGCAUUGUGGAAUGAUUAGAGAUUAUCAAGUAAUUUGGAGAAGCAAGCUUGUUGUAAGGCCGCUGGAAGACCUAUGGUGUGUUUUUAAUUUAUUCUAAGUCUUUUUAUUUUGCUUAACAAUGCCGGAUUAAUAAAUCCUAGUUGUUUUUCAACAUUAUAGGUACAACUCUGAGAGACUUCUGCAUACAAACCAUCAUUGAUGAUAAACAAUUUAUUUAUUCAUUUGUUGUCUUUGUAAAUGUACAAAUGUUGCGUUUACUUGUCAGUAAUCGGAAUGUGCUUUAAUCAAA
rnacentral:lncRNA from 1 species